GGGGCGGUGGUCUAGUGGUAUGACGGCUCCCUUACGAGGAGCAAGCCGCAGGUUCAAAUCCUGCCCGCCCCA
rnacentral:tRNA from 1 species